CUUUCUCUCCCCUUAUUCCCCGAACCCUAGCCCUCUUCUCCUUCCUCUCCUACUCUCUUUCCACAGCCACCACCGCUUCCCUCUCUUCCGCUCACUCCCGCUAUUAUCUCUCUCUCUCUCAUUAACCGGCUCCGCCCCUUGCCGGCGCCAUCACCUCCACGAGCAAGCUCUCUCUCUCUCUCUCUCUCUCUCUCUGAUCUCGGAGGACUGAAAGAAGGCAAAGAACCUUCAGUUUCAGUUCUCAGUUACCUACAUUCAGAAACUGGAGAUGGGAUCUGGUGCUGGAAGUUUCCUCAAAGUUCUCCUUAAAAACUUCGAUGUUCUUGCUGGGCCUGUGGUUAGUUUGGUUUAGCCACUGUAUGCCUCAAUUCGGUUUAUAGAGACCAAAUCACCAACUGAUGAUCGCCAAUGGCUUACGUAUUGGAUUCUCUACUUUAUGAUUACACUCUUUGAGCUCACUUUUGCCAAACUUAUUGAGUGAUCAUAAUACGUACCUGAUUGGAGAUGAUGAGCACUGCUACAGUGACAAUCAUGUGUCAAACAUUGAAGGCGGUUGCUAUGCUAAGUGCAUUGAUUUGUCAAAAGACAAGCAACCAGAUAUUUGGAAUUCUAUCAAAUUUGAGACUAGUAAAAAGAUGAUACUAUGGACCAUUUUUCUUUAAAAAGAUGAAUUCUUGAUAUCUGACCUACAAGAUUAUUAAAACCAAACCUCACAGAUCAAUAUAGAUGGGUCGUGUUAUUACCUUUUUAUGUAUGUAGAGUGCAGCUUUCUUCUAAAGCCUGAAUUCUUUGUCUGACAUUUCCAUUUACUUUAUUGUGCAGGCCAAAUAAAGGAGGUCCUUCAAAGCUACACUCAAAGUUCAUUUGAUUAACCCUUCAGUCAAGGUUCUGUUGUGUGUCUUGGACUAUUUGGCUUUGGUCAAAGGAGUUUUGUGAUAAGCAAAUUAUAAUUUGAAAACAGGUCUUUCAACAUGACAUGUCUUUUGGUGAGGAAUGUUACAAGCGAGGAUGUUAGUUAUUACCACACAUAUGAUUCAAAAGUUUUGGUCACUAGUUUUGUGUAUAACUCUUUAAGUUCAACAAGAAGCUUAGUAGUUUUAGGUAUUUUGAUGCUUAUAAUUUUGCAAAACCUUUGGUGUUACAAUUGUGAUUGUUGGUUUGUAAUUGAAAUGAGUUCAUAUUGGUAUCUUACCAAUUUUCAAUUUAUAAAGAACAUGAUGU
rnacentral:lncRNA from 1 species